GUGCUUGCUUUGGCAGCACAUAUACUAAAAUUGGAAAGACACAGAGAAGAUUAGCAUGGUCCCUGCGCUAGGAUGACAUGCAAAUUCAUGAAGCGUUCCAUAAAAAA
rnacentral:snRNA from 1 species